GAACCUGAGUGAGGAGGAAUUUGAGCUGCAGGAGCGAGACCAGCAGCUCUCAGCUGCGGAUGAGAAGGUGGUGCUGGCCACAGAGGAAGUCAAAGUCUACAAGCAGAGAAUUCAUGAAAUGGAGGAAGAAUUACAGAAAACAGAGCGCUCAUUUAAAAACCAGCUUGCUAUUCAUGAGGAGAAAGCCCACGAGAACUGGGUAAGAG